rnacentral:rRNA from 1 species
AAGCUCCCGCUCGCGGGGGUGGACGAGUGGCGAACGGGUGAGUAAUACGUGAGUAACCUGCCCUUGACUCUGGGAUAAGCCUGGGAAACCGGGUUUAAUACUGGAUACGACGUCCUACCGCAUGGUGGGGCGUGGAAAGGGUUUUACUGGUUUUGGAUGGGCUCACGGCCUAUCAGAUUGUUGGUGGGGUAAUGGCCUACCAAGGCGACGACGGGUAGCCGGCCUGAGAGGGUGACCGGCCACACUGGGACUGAGACACGGCCCAGACUCCUACGGGAGGCAGCAGUGGGGAAUAUUGCACAAUGGGCGCAAGCCUGAUGCAGCGACGCCGCGUGAGGGAUGACGGCCUUCGGGUUGUAAACCUCUUUCAGCAGGGAAGAAGCCACAAGUGACGGUACCUGCAGAAGAAGCGCCGGCUAACUACGUGCCAGCAGCCGCGGUAAUACGUAGGGCGCAAGCGUUGUCCGGAAUUAUUGGGCGUAAAGAGCUCGUAGGCGGUUUGUCGCGUCUGCUGUGAAAGCCCGGGGCUCAACCCCGGGUCUGCAGUGGGUACGGGCAGACUAGAGUGCAGUAGGGGAGACUGGAAUUCCUGGUGUAGCGGUGAAAUGCGCAGAUAUCAGGAGGAACACCGAUGGCGAAGGCAGGUCUCUGGGCUGUUACUGACGCUGAGGAGCGAAAGCAUGGGGAGCGAACAGGAUUAGAUACCCUCGAGGUUAAAUCCAAACCCGGAGAACGUUAAGGAACUAGGUGUGGGGGACAUUCCACGGUUCUCCGCGCCGUAGCCUAACGCAUUAAGUGCCCCCGCCCUGGGGAGUACGGCCGCAAGGCUAAAACUCAAAGGAAUUGACGGGGGCCCGCACAAGCGGCGGAGCAUGCGGAUUAAUUCGAUGCAACGCGAAGAACCUUACCAAGGCUUGACAUCCACCGGACCGCACUGGAGACAGUGCUUCCCUUCGGGGCUGGUGGACAGGUGGUGCAUGGUUGUCGUCAGCUCGUGUCGUGAGAUGUUGGGUUAAGUCCCGCAACGAGCGCAACCCUCGUUCUAUGUUGCCAGCACGUGAUGGUGGGGACUCAUAGGAGACUGCCGGGGUCAACUCGGAGGAAGGUGGGGAUGACGUCAAAUCAUCAUGCCCCUUAUGUCUUGCGCUUCCCGCCUGCUACAAUGAUUAAGUACAAAGGGUUGCCACACAGUGAGGUGGAGGCGGGGUCAAAUACCCCCUCUUACUUCUUAUUGUCGGCAACACCUCUCCA